ensembl:lncRNA
UUUGCCUCUUGGCUGUGUCGCAGUCGUAAGUGGGAGACAUUGUUUCAGGGAGUGCAGCUCUUCCCGGCACUGAUAAGAAUGGAAUGCAAGCUACCAUGGAGAUUCAGGUCACUAAUUAGUCCCAGAAGCCUCUCUGCUUUGAAUCACUGUUACAUUAAUUAUGCAGCAAAUUAGAAUGUUUGCCAAGGCCCAGGGCCAAGUGUGCGGUAGAGCCUGGGGACAGCAUGGAAAGAGAAAGGGGUGUCCACGCCCAGCACACCGUGGGGACCAGCAGCCGAAUCCAAGGCCUGAGCGCCCAGUGACCCUGCCUGAUCCCUGACCCAGCUUUCUGUGCACUUGCAGCCGCCCGCCUAAGAGCUUGUUGUGCAUAGAGCAGACAGAGGCGGCAGUGGGGUGGAGAGGAGGGAGGCAGGAUGGCCACCCUCUUGUCUGCCUGCUGAGCUCUGCUGCUCAGCCCAGAAGAGACACCAAACAGCCAUUUGGACGUUUUAUUUCCACUGUGACACAGAGAAGAGACUUUCAGGUGGGUUCAUUACCACUAGCAUCACCUAGGAAGCCCACCUAAUGAAUCUGGAGAGCAGUGUCCCAAACAGAACCAAAGAAAGGGAAGCUGCUGUCCCACAGGGAGGAAGUUCACCACAGUUGAAUAAGAGUGUAUGCUCGGAGGACAAACCACCCCUAGGUGAAGCUGCCCUGACGUCUGCAGGCUGUGGGCUCCUGUCCCACACAGAUUUCCUGCCCUGAGCUUCCUAAGAUAGGACCCACCUCAAGUAAGUCCUGCGGGGGGAGCUGAUGGGGUUAACUGAGCUCCAGUCUGUCUCCAUGACA